rnacentral:rRNA from 1 species
AUUGAACGCUGGCGGCAGGCCUAACACAUGCAAGUCGAACGGUAGCACAGAGAGCUUGCUCUCGGGUGACGAGUGGCGGACGGGUGAGUAAUGUCUGGGAAACUGCCUGAUGGAGGGGGAUAACUACUGGAAACGGUAGCUAAUACCGCAUAACGUCGCAAGACCAAAGAGGGGGACCUUCGGGCCUCUUGCCAUCAGAUGUGCCCAGAUGGGAUUAGCUAGUAGGUGGGGUAACGGCUCACCUAGGCGACGAUCCCUAGCUGGUCUGAGAGGAUGACCAGCCACACUGGAACUGAGACACGGUCCAGACUCCUACGGGAGGCAGCAGUGGGGAAUAUUGCACAAUGGGCGCAAGCCUGAUGCAGCCAUGCCGCGUGUAUGAAGAAGGCCUUCGGGUUGUAAAGUACCUUCAGCGGGGAGGAAGGUGUUGUGGUUAAUAACCGCAGCAAUUGACGUUACCCGCAGAAGAAGCACCGGCUAACUCCGUGCCAGCAGCCGCGGUAAUACGGAGGGUGCAAGCGUUAAUCGGAAUUACUGGGCGUAAAGCGCACGCAGGCGGUCUGUCAAGUCGGAUGUGAAAUCCCCGGGCUCAACCUGGGAACUGCAUUCGAAACUGGCAGGCUAGAGUCUUGUAGAGGGGGGUAGAAUUCCAGGUGUAGCGGUGAAAUGCGUAGAGAUCUGGAGGAAUACCGGUGGCGAAGGCGGCCCCCUGGACAAAGACUGACGCUCAGGUGCGAAAGCGUGGGGAGCAAACAGGAUUAGAUACCCUGGUAGUCCACGCCGUAAACGAUGUCGACUUGGAGGUUGUGCCCUUGAGGCGUGGCUUCCGGAGCUAACGCGUUAAGUCGACCGCCUGGGGAGUACGGCCGCAAGGUUAAAACUCAAAUGAAUUGACGGGGGCCCGCACAAGCGGUGGAGCAUGUGGUUUAAUUCGAUGCAACGCGAAGAACCUUACCUACUCUUGACAUCCAGAGAACUUUCCAGAGAUGGAUUGGUGCCUUCGGGAACUCUGAGACAGGUGCUGCAUGGCUGUCGUCAGCUCGUGUUGUGAAAUGUUGGGUUAAGUCCCGCAACGAGCGCAACCCUUAUCCUUUGUUGCCAGCGGUCCGGCCGGGAACUCAAAGGAGACUGCCAGUGAUAAACUGGAGGAAGGUGGGGAUGACGUCAAGUCAUCAUGGCCCUUACGAGUAGGGCUACACACGUGCUACAAUGGCGCAUACAAAGAGAAGCGAACUCGCGAGAGCAAGCGGACCUCAUAAAGUGCGUCGUAGUCCGGAUUGGAGUCUGCAACUCGACUCCAUGAAGUCGGAAUCGCUAGUAAUCGUAGAUCAGAAUGCUACGGUGAAUACGUUCCCGGGCCUUGUACACACCGCCCGUCACACCAUGGGAGUGGGUUGCAAAAGAAGUAGGUAGCUUAACCUUCGGGAGGGCGCUUACCACUUUGUGAUUCAUGACUGGGGGUGAAGUCGUAACAAGGUAACCGUAGGGGGAACC